CUUCGGAGUUAGUGGCAGACGGGUGAGUAACGCGUGGGAACCUACCUUUAGGUACGGAACAACAGUUGGAAACGACUGCUAAUACCGUAUGUGCCCUAUGGGGGAAAGAUUUAUCGCCUAAGGAUGGGCCCGCGUUGGAUUAGCUAGUUGGUGGGGUAAAGGCCUACCAAGGCGACGAUCCAUAGCUGGUCUGAGAGGAUGAUCAGCCACACUGGGGCUGAGACACGGCCCAGACUCCUACGGGAGGCAGCAGUGGGGAAUAUUGGACAAUGGGCGCAAGCCUGAUCCAGCCAUGCCGCGUGAGUGAUGAAGGCCCUAGGGUUGUAAAGCUCUUUCAGCGAGGAGGAUAAUGACGUUACUCGCAGAAGAAGCCCCGGCUAACUUCGUGCCAGCAGCCGCGGUAAUACGAAGGGGGCUAGCGUUGUUCGGAAUCACUGGGCGUAAAGCGCACGUAGGCGGACUUUUAAGUCAGGGGUGAAAUCCCGGGGCUCAACCCCGGAACUGCCUUUGAUACUGGAAGUCUUGAGUCCGAGAGAGGUGAGUGGAACUCCGAGUGUAGAGGUGAAAUUCGUAGAUAUUCGGAAGAACACCAGUGGCGAAGGCGGCUCACUGGCUCGGUACUGACGCUGAGGUGCGAAAGCGUGGGGAGC
rnacentral:rRNA from 1 species